UGUGAACUGCAGGACACAUGAACACCGAUACGUUGAACGCAUAUUGCGCGUCGGACGAUUAAACCCGGCCGAUGCACACAUUCUUGAGUGCCUAUCAAUUCCUUAAUAUACAACAAACCAAACUUCAGGGUGGAGCGUGCCACAAUAGAACACUAUGGCGAGCACCCCGUCUAGUGUCGUGGGGGAAACACGCUUCCACACUGUGCAUAAUGGCGUGCUCGGAACCUAUCUUGGGACCGCAGGGCGCUGAAAGUAAAGGGGAUGAACCGCAUAAAUCGCACGCGCGCAAAUACACACACACACACAAGUAUAGUGUGAGGUAUCGUAAGAUACAGUGAGAGAGUAUGUUGUGAAACAUUGUGAAUUCAGUUGAAAACCUCUUUGAUGUCCAAGAUUUCGUUGACCGUAUCCGUCGUAAUACUGGAUCAACGUGCUUGGGGGGAAACAUCUUAGUGGUCAACCCGUGUGGAGUAUUAACCCACCGAUGUGUGCAGUGUUGUUGCUGAUAUCGGUUCGCUAUGCCCGAUGUUCGAUUCGAGUCGAAUGUGAGUUUGUGUAUGUGUCUCACGAGAUGUGAGACACCCCCUGAAUUUAAGCAUA
rnacentral:rRNA from 1 species